AAGGGGCUUCGGCCCUGAGUAGAGUGGCGAACGGGUGAGUAACACGUGGGUGACCUACCCUCGAGUGGGGGAUAACAUCCCGAAAGGGGUGCUAAUACCGCAUGACAUCCUGCCUUUGAACAGGCGGAUAUUAAAGCCGGGGAUCGCAAGACCUGGCACUCGGAGAGGGGCCCGCGCCUGAUUAGCUAGUUGGUGGGGUAAUGGCCUACCAAGGCAACGAUCAGUAUCCGGCCUGAGAGGGCGGACGGACACACUGGGACUGAGACACGGCCCAGACUCCUACGGGAGGCAGCAGUGGGGAAUUGUUCGCAAUGGGCGCAAGCCUGACGACGCAACGCCGCGUGGAGGAUGAAGAUUUUCGGA
rnacentral:rRNA from 1 species